AGUAAUGCCUGGGAAAUUGCCCUGAUGUGGGGGAUAACCAUUGGAAACGAUGGCUAAUACCGCAUGAUGCCUACGGGCCAAAGAGGGGGACCUUCGGGCCUCUCGCGUCAGGAUAUGCCCAGGUGGGAUUAGCUAGUUGGUGAGGUAAGGGCUCACCAAGGCGACGAUCCCUAGCUGGUCUGAGAGGAUGAUCAGCCACACUGGAACUGAGACACGGUCCAG
rnacentral:rRNA from 1 species